AACAACAACCCUGGUAUGUACCAACAUCUGCAGUAGUGCUGGCCGAAACAACCAUAUUCCCAUCUCUUAAUCCAGGGGCCGUACUACCCAUUUCCACAUGGCCUCUUCUUCUAUUGCUCUCCCGCUGCUCGCGUGCGAUGCGGCAUCUGAUGCACGCCAUCGUCAAAAUGGGAAACAGAAAGAGAAGAUUAUGAGCAGAACAAUGAGGGCUGUUGUCC
rnacentral:lncRNA from 1 species